rnacentral:rRNA from 1 species
UGGCACCUACGGGGCGCAGCAGUGAGGAAUAUUGGUCAAUGGGCGCAGGCCUGAACCAGCCAAGUAGCGUGAAGGAUGACUGCCCUAUGGGUUGUAACCUUCUUUUAUAUGGGAAUAAAGUUUUCCACGUGUGGAAUUUUGUAUGUAUCAUAUGAAUAAGGAUCGGCUAACUCCGUGCCAGCAGCCGCGGUAAUACGGAGGAUCCGAGCGUUAUCCGGAUUUAUUGGGUUUAAAGGGAGCGUAGGUGGACAGUUAAGUCAGUUGUGAAAGUUUGCGGCUCAACGGUAAAAUUGCAGUUGAGACUG